UCCUACAAGUUGUGACAAGUUUUAACAGGAAUUAAAGUCACAAGAAAGAAAAAAAUAAAUAAACAAAAUCAUCCAGCGUAGAGGAGAACACAGGAAUCCUGCAACAUAGUUCAAUUAUCGGCUCCCAAAGGAAAUUGACAACAGUCGCUCUUUUAUACUUUUAUAUCAAUAAUCUGGCCAGAGCUAAAUGUGUGGAUUUGUGAGAGACAUGAAAGCCGUUUCAGCUGCUUUGUGACAGGUGAACUGUUGAAGUUUGCCGUCAACCAUGACACUCAGUGUGGACGGGUACCGGAGUGAGUAUUUCAUGUUUAGUUCACGAAGUUUACGCUUUACAGCUCAAAACUGCGCCACUUCUUCGUAAGCCCGGCACUGUAAUCUGGAAAUAUGUGAAUACGAGUACCUUUAAAGCGCAGCUCCUUCUCCUUGGCCAAACGAAGAAUUUUGAUUUUAUCCUGGAAAUUGAGCAGUUUGAUCAGGAUAGGUCUUGGCCUGGUGCUGUUGUGUUCGCUGGCGCUCCGGACAACGGUAGGACUGCGGUGGCGUCUCUCAAUGGUUGGCGGAAAAGGAAAGUUUUCCCAUCCCAUUAGCUCCGGAAUCAGCUGGAUCAUGAAGCCGAGGAUAUCAUGGCCCUCCGCGGAUUCUGGGACGCCGAUGACGCGCAGGUUGGACGCUUGGCUCCGGUUUUCCAGUUCCUCCACCUUGUCCAUGAGGUAUACAUUUUGUUGUUGUAGUUCCUUAUUUUUUGUUCGGAGAUCAUGGAUAUCAUCUUCGGUCUUCCCGACUCUUUGAUCCAAAAUUCCAACAUGAUCACCGAGCGUGUUCAGAGAGCAUUCAGUGGAACUGAGUUGUGAAUGAAUGGGAUCCACCUUGGCUUGUGGGACCGCAUUUCCCACUUGAGUUGCUCCAGGCCAUCCAGUACAAUUUUUAUCGAAAGCUGGUUGAUCUGAUCUUCGGCCAUUCUUAUAACAAACAAGUACAAUUGGUAUUGGUGUCAGAGAUGGUGAGAAUUAGAAGAUAUUGCAUAAAUCAGACAGGCCUGUGCUGCACACACUCACGCUGCGGCCAUCUUGCCUCCUCUUACUCAUAAACAUUUAAGUGAAACCAUCAUGUGAGGCAGUCAUACUCUCCUUGUUCCUUUUUGUUCAACCAUAUAGUUUGGACUACCUCAGAUUGGUCCCUUAUUAUACAGUUGCAGGUUGAGAAUGCUGGGGGUCAGGACCCACAAAGCUCCUAUCUCUCUCUCUCACUAUCUGUCUUACUGAGACGUCCCGUCAUUGCAUUUUGUUGACUUGACUUCUUCCUUGGAGUCCUUGUGUUUUAUCAUUAGCAGGUUCUCAAGGAUCGUGGUUUGACCGGCUGAUGUGGAUUUUACCUCAGACUGUCUCUAAAAACAGAUUGACUUGACUUGACUAAUGAUGGUAAAGUGAUAACAUUACUGUUGUAACAAAAGGUCUGUGAUCUGAAAUUGUGUUUUAACACCAUCAACAACUAUGUCCCCUACUUUGUGAGUACUUCACAAUGAGGAGGACGUGCCAUGCGAGAACAGAUUGGGUGGAUGUGAAGUGGACAGGAGGAGUAUUAAACCCCCCAUUUCAGCAGGAUGGCAACAAUUGUGGAGUUGUUGUUGUCAAGAUUGCAGAGGCCUUGAUGCAGGCCUUCCCUUUGAUCCCGGACAUCAGCUUUCACACGUCGAAGAUGGAAAUGUAAAGGGAGAGGGAGAUCCUUGCUGUUAAACUGCUAGAGGCAUCAGUCUUUGAAGAGCACUCAUGUUGCGCAACAUGUGCGGCUUCUAAGCCUCCAGGAUCUGGACCGCCCAUCACUGACUUGAUCCAAUGUGACACGUGUGCCAGGUGGUUCCAUGUCCAGUGCUUAGUAAUGGACAGCAAGACAUUUGAAAAGGCCAAAGAGAGAACGUUGGAAUGUCCGUUGUGUGUCUAGCAAGGUUAUAAUAGUUUUGGAUUUUUACCUCCGCCAAGGAGGUUAUGUUUUUGCCAGGGUUUGUCUGUUUGUCUGUUUGUUUGUUUGUUUGUUUGUUUGUUUGUUUUGU